rnacentral:rRNA from 1 species
AUGGGAAACAGGUUAAUAUUCCUGUACUUGGUGUUACUGCGAAGGGGGGACGGAGAAGGCUAUGUUGGCCGGGCGACGGUUGUCCCGGUUUAAGCGUGUAGGCUGGUUUUCCAGGCAAAUCCGGAAAAUCAAGGCUGAGGCGUGAUGACGAGGCACUACGGUGCUGAAGCAACAAAUGCCCUGCUUCCAGGAAAAGCCUCUAAGCAUCAGGUAACAUCAAAUCGUACCCCAAACCGACACAGGUGGUCAGGUAGAGAAUACCAAGGCGCUUGAGAGAACUCGGGUGAAGGAACUAGGCAAAAUGGUGCCGUAACUUCGGGAGAAGGCACGCUGAUAUGUAGGUGAAGCGACUUGCUCGUGGAGCUGAAAUCAGUCGAAGAUACCAGCUGGCUGCAACUGUUUAUUAAAAACACAGCACUGUGCAAACACGAAAGUGGACGUAUACGGUGUGACGCCUGCCCGGUGCCGGAAGGUUAAUUGAUGGGGUUAGCGCAAGCGAAGCUCUUGAUCGAAGCCCCGGUAAACGGCGGCCGUAACUAUAACGGUCCUAAGGUAGCGAAAUUCCUUGUCGGGUAAGUUCCGACCUGCACGAAUGGCGUAAUGAUGGCCAGGCUGUCUCCACCCGAGACUCAGUGAAAUUGAACUCGCUGUGAAGAUGCAGUGUACCCGCGGCAAGACGGAAAGACCCCGUGAACCUUUACUAUAGCUUGACACUGAACAUUGAGCCUUGAUGUGUAGGAUAGGUGGGAGGCUUUGAAGUGUGGACGCCAGUCUGCAUGGAGCCGACCUUGAAAUACCACCCUUUAAUGUUUGAUGUUCUAACGUUGACCCGUAAUCCGGGUUGCGGACAGUGUCUGGUGGGUAGUUUGACUGGGGCGGUCUCCUCCUAAAGAGUAACGGAGGAGCACGAAGGUUGGCUAAUCCUGGUCGGACAUCAGGAGGUUAGUGCAAUGGCAUAAGCCAGCUUGACUGCGAGCGUGACGGCGCGAGCAGGUGCGAAAGCAGGUCAUAGUGAUCCGGUGGUUCUGAAUGGAAGGGCCAUCGCUCAACGGAUAAAAGGUACUCCGGGGAUAACAGGCUGAUACCGCCCAAGAGUUCAUAUCGACGGCGGUGUUUGGCACCUCGAUGUCGGCUCAUCACAUCCUGGGGCUGAAGUAGGUCCCAAGGGUAUGGCUGUUCGCCAUUUAAAGUGGUACGCGAGCUGGGUUUAGAACGUCGUGAGACAGUUCGGUCCCUAUCUGCCGUGGGCGCUGGAGAACUGAGGGGGGCUGCU